rnacentral:rRNA from 1 species
UACGUAGGGGGCAAGCGUUGUCCGGAAUCAUUGGGCGUAAAGCGCGUGUAGGCGGCCCGGUAAGUCCGCUGUGAAAGUCCAGGGCUCAACCCUGGAAUGCCGGUGGAUACUGUCGGGCUCGAGUCCGGAAGAGGCGAGUGGAAUUCCUGGUGUAGCGGUGAAAUGCGCAGAUAUCAGGAGGAACACCGAUGGCGAAGGCAGCUCGCUGGGACGGUAGCUGAC